GGAUAGCUCAGUUGGUUAGGGCUCGGUGCUGAUAAUGCCAGGGUUGCAGGUUCGGUCCCCGAAAGGAACA